rnacentral:rRNA from 1 species
GAACGCUGGCGGCGUGCCUAAUACAUGCAAGUUGAACGCACAAAGACACCAGAGCUUGCUCUACCGUCUUUGUUGAGUAGCGAACGGGUGAGUAACGCGUGGGUAACCUGCCUUAUAGCGGGGGAUAACUAUUGGAAACGAUAGCUAAUACCGCAUAACAAUAGAGAUUGCAUAAUCUUUAUUUGAAAGUGCCAACUGGUACACUAUGAGAUGGACCGCGUUGUAUUAGCUAGUUGGUAGUGUAAUGGACUACCAAGGCGAUGAUACAUAGCCGACCUGAGAGGGUGAUCGGCCACAUUGGGACUGAGACACGGCCCAAACUCCUACGGGAGGCAGCAGUAGGGAAUCUUCGGCAAUGGACGAAAGUCUGACCGAGCAACGCCGCGUGAGUGAAGAAGGUUUUCGGAUCGUAAAACUCUGUUGUCAGAGAAGAAUGUUGAUUAGAGUGGAAAAUUAAUCAAGUGACGGUAUCUAACCAGAAAGGGACGGCUAACUACGUG